AGUGAACGCUGGCGGUAUGCCUAAUACAUGCGAGUCGAACGGCCGCACAGUAAGAGUGUGUCUUUACGGGUGGCGACUGGCGGACGGGUGAGGAAUACAUCCCAACCUUCUUUUUCUUGGGGGACAACGUAGGGCAACUUCCGAUAACAUCGAAUACCUUCCACCGCUGAAUUCAGAGGUGAUUCGGACCCUGCCCGUCUCAAAGAGCCGAUGCCGCAUUAGCUUGUUGGCGAGGUAAGGUCCCACCAAGGCGACGAUCCGUAGCUGGUCUGAGAGGAUGAUCGGCCACACGGGAACUGAGACACGGUCCAGACUCCUACGGGAGGCAGCAGUAGGGAAUCUUGGGCAAUGGGCGCAAGCCUGAACCAGCAAAACCGCGUGGGUGAUGAAGGUCUUCGGAUUGUAAAGCCCUGUUGUUAGGGAAGAACAGCUGUGUACGAAAAUGCGGCUGUAUUGACGGUACCCAAUGAGAAAGCACCGGCUAACUUCGUG
rnacentral:rRNA from 1 species